GACUGUCAACGCCAAGCUGAGUGACUAGCCUGUGGUAGGUCUUCAAAUGAAUGAUUAUUAGGAAAUAAUUGUGAUUCCAUUACUUUACUACCACUGAACAGAUUAUUUCUUACAAUAUCAUUAAAUGCAUAGGAAAUCACUGAGGAAACAAAGAUGACACCCUAAACUUUUGAAAAUGUUACAGUAAGGAGUGUCGUGAAGGCGCGUAUAUUUUUAACAGUGCCAAAGUCUAAGCUUAGAGUUCCCAUUUGGAUAACUUACAUGUGCAGUCGGGUUUUCCUCCAUAAACUAAUUUGCAGCAAUGAAUAGCAGAUGGGUUACAUUAAUUCAUUGAUAGAAGGGACAGUUACUUUAUACUCAAAAGUCCUCAGUGUCUCUCCUACUAAACUGCAAAAAGUUAAUGGAAUGUUUAUAUUUUUGUGGUGCUUCUUUAUAGAGGAGAAUUUUUUACUUACUGUAGUAUUCUAUAAUAAAAUGUAAAUGAACACUGCUUUCCUCUGCCAGAUAAUUACUCCAGAAACCAUUUAAAUGAAAAUAGCAUUUGUAGAGAAAUAUCCAGAAAGAAAAGCAAAAAUAAAUGGCAUACUAGUGGUCCCAUUUGCCGGCUGAUGUUUGGUUUAUAACAUUUGGCACAUCUUGAUAUCUACAUAAUAGUAGUUUUCAAACCAUAAAUAAUAUUUUACGGAGGUCACACCAUAGUUAUUUAAGUUCAGGGGUUUAUUUCCCUGAGCACUAAGUAGCUAUGAAUGAAUUAUGUUUAGUCUGAUCUGCCUCAGAAGGGCCAUAAACCUCCAAGUCAUAGCAAACCAUGGAAUAUUACUUCAAUACGUCAGGAAAAUUGUACAUGUAAAAGAAUAAUGCAUGAUAAGGGAAAGGUGUUUUUAUUUUUCUAAAGUAAUAUAUGUUACUGGGCAGGAGCUAUAAAAUUUUGUUAUGUUAAACUUUCCUCUGAUUCUGGAAAACAAGUUAAGAAACAGUUUUGCCUGGUCAGACCUAAGCCAGCAAAGCAGGCUAUGGAAACAGAGACGGCCUAGGAAAGAGUUUGGCUUUGAUUUUUUUCCUUCUGAGAAUCCUGCUCUUCAAAAAGAUGACAGCAAGGAAAAGUUGCAAGAAUGCAAGAGAUGGUUUCACAAACUUCCCUUUACAAUCAGCAUUCUUCGCUUAAGCAAACGUUUUGGAUUUCCAGGCAAGUGUUUUUGUAGAUACCCAGAAGUAUCUCCAAGAAGAGAAGGUAUAAUUCACUUAUAAAAUUAAAUCUACUUAAAAUGCUUAAAUGAAAUUGUUAAGCAUUUCCCAGACAACAUGCUAAGCAAUUUCCUUGGUUUCCUCCUUUAACUUCUAUAACAAACCCUAAUAUUAUCCACAUUGGGCAUACGCAGAAGCAGAGGUUUGGAAAAAUAAAGAAACUAGUCCAAGGUGACAUGGUUGACGAGAGACAGCAAGGAGGUCACUGUGACUGCAGAAGCUCCCAGCUAUUCAAAGUCUGUAGCGAUGCCUUCCAGGCAAUGUUCUCAAUACCUUACCAGCAACGUCCCCCCAUUGUAAUCCUCAUGACAGUCCUGUGAAUCUGCAGGGCACAGACGAGGAACCUGAAGCUCAGAGGGGUAAAGUAACUAGCCUAAGGUAACACAGACAGUAAAGAAGAGCCAGGAUUCAAACCAGCUUAUCAGACUGAGGAUCCACACUAAGGCACUCGAUUUCUCGUCCUCUCUGAAUAUUAAGAGUAAUCUCAUAAGGGAACAAACAUAGGCAAGACACUCCUAAAAAAAAAGGAACAGGGGGAUGUGGGAGUGAGGUGGAAGGGGAAUUUCCCUUGACCCACCAGAAAUGAAGACUUACUGCAAAGUUUCAGUUAUUUAGACAACUGGGUGAUUUUAGACAAGAGGGAAGGCAACUAGACCAAUGGAACAGAAGGGAGAGGCCAUAAGAGCAUGAAGGAAAGACCAGAAGUGAUUAUAAUUCGGGAGAGUGGUUACUUCUGAGAAAAGAGGAGGC
ensembl:lncRNA